CUCUCAUGAAGCGAUCUUCUAUGGCAGAGGAGAAAAAUGACGAGGAUGUACAUGGAGGUGAGUUUUCACAGAGAGGAGCAGAAAGUUGAGGAGGAAUCCCUCUAAAUGAGACGCUCAGACAGAAGUGAGAGUCCUUGAUGAGAGGAUAGACUCCAGCUGGAGAGUUUCACAGCAGCAGCAGCAGCAGCAGACACACCCACAAAAC